rnacentral:lncRNA from 1 species
GGCACUGGGACCAUGACCAGGUCUUCAGUGAUGAAUGGGCCUUGCAGAUAAGUUGGAAAGAGGACUGUGGAUCCUGAGCUGUAAAACCCAGUCAAAUCAGUGGAGCAAUGAAACCUGCUUUUCAUGUGUCUCAAGGCUGGUGUUUCCAGUGGAUUCCCUCAUGUGUCAUAAGGAAUGGAUGCCCUCCUGAAGGAAGAACAGUUUUGUGGAAUUUUAAGGUAUUUUGUUGUUUAUCAGAAGAUCUUGAGAUGAAAAAAGUGCCAACAAGUGAACACGAAAAUUUUUGGACCUGAAUACAUUCCUUUAAAUAUGUAUGUCACACAUCUCCUAACAAACUUCCCACAAUUUCCUCUUCUCCCUCUACGUGACAACGUAGUAGCUGAAAACAGCUGCAGUGGUAGCUGAUUGUUUUCACAAAUGAUCACCUCCUUUUCUGUAUUGGUUUUCCUAGCUGUAUCAAGAAUUUUACCUUGAAAAAGAGAUGGAUGACCUUUCUUCAUGCUAGUGAGCUGAUGAUUUGGAAGUUUAGUAUUUCUUAAUAUUUUGCUCUGUGAUACUGAAACAUUUUUAACUGUGGAUGCACAAGUGAUCAUUUCCCACAGAAAGGGUGAAACCACGGGAGACUAUGACUGAAACACAACUCAAUUUGGAACUCGAAAGUCACACAAGUAGAACAGGAACUUGAGGGUUCCGAUGCAGUAGCUAGAGGACAACUGGUUACACAGAAAAAUAUAUUCCUACAAUUUUCACUUCUGCUGCCAGUUCUCAGACCUAGGACACAGUGGACCUGUGAAGCAGGGUGCUUCAAUGGGUUCCAGAAAGUGAACUACGCUUUCGGGGCCCAGAGCACGCUUGCUAAAAUUGCUGAUGAAAUGGGCGAAGGAUGGGUCUUUGUACAGAAAUCCAAGAGCCCUCAUUGAGCCUCAAAGGGAGUCCAGGGACAAAGAUGAAACUGGGUGGAGGACACAGGGUUAAAUACUGGGUAAAGGGGUGGAGCUGAGGGUCAAGGGUCAAUAGAAACAGGUAAAAGUGAUGCAGCAAUGGGGUAACAAACCAGGGAAACCAAU